AGGUUUAUUCUUCAGUCCAAGGAAGCAAUUCACAGUCAGCUGUUAGAGAAGCAGAAAAUAGCAGAAGAAAAAAUUAAAGAACUAGAACAGAAAAAGUCCUACCUGGAGCGAAGCGUUAAGGAAGCUGAGGACAACAUCCGGGAGAUGCUGAUGGCACGAAGGGCCCAGUAGGGAGCCUCUCUGGGAAGCUCUUCCUCCUGCCCCUCCCAUUCCUGGUGGGGGCAGAGGAGUGUCUGCAGGGAAACAGCUUCUCCUCUGCCCCGAUGGAUGCUUUAUUUGGAUGGCCUGGCAACAUCACAUUUUCUGCAUCACCCUGAGCCCCAUUUGCUUCCCAGCCCUGGAGUUUUUACCCGGCUUUGCCUGCCACCUCUGCCCAGGACACUCUUCCCUCUCGGGAUGUGUGAUGAACUCCCAGGAGAGGGAAGAUGGGAGCCAGGGCAAGAUAGGAAGCUCUGCCUGAGCUUUCCACUAGGCACGCCAGCCAGACCAAUAAAAAGCGUCUGUCCCACUCUGCUAAGCCUGGUUUUCUUGAGCAGAGGGAUGGAACAGAGGGUGAGAGAGGCAGUGGCCGUCUCCACCUCAGCUCCUGCUCCCUCUGCAUCAGAGCCCUUCCUUUCUUGGGGGAUGGGCCUUGCCCUCUUCUCUUUUCCCUUCCUGUACCUUUGACUAACGCUCAGCUUCCGGGCCUGCAUGCAGUAGACAGAAGAGGAAGAAAGAACAGAUGUUCACAGCUGAAUCUCAGUGAACAGAAUAGCAGUCCCUGGAUGGCAGUCUGCCUAAAGAUUCCUUUCCCUGCCU
rnacentral:lncRNA from 1 species